rnacentral:rRNA from 1 species
AGAGUUUGAUCCUGGCUCAGAACGAACGCUGGCGGCAUGCUUAACACAUGCAAGUCGAACGCGGGGUUUCGGUUCGCCGGAACCCUGAGUGGCGCACGGGUGAGUAGCGCGUGGGAACCUGCCUUUCAGUGGGGGAUAACCGCGGGAAACUGCGGCUAAUACCGCAUACGUCCGGGCAAAUCUUUGGGUUUGACCGGGGA